UUCUGGAGUGUCCAAGUCUGGCUCAGUGCACAGGGCGAUGGGGGUCGCUCCUUAUCUCUGUCUCCUUCUGUCCUGUCUGGGAGGCGUGCGGUCCGACGUGGUGCUGACACAGCCUGCGUCAGCGGUGGCAAAGCCCGGGGAGUGCCACAAACUGACCUGUGCAGUCACUGGGUUCAGCAUCAGCAGCUACUACAUGCACUGGGUGAAACAGGUCCCCAGGAAAGGGCUGGAGUGGCUGGUGCAGUAUUAUUCUGAAAGUUACAAAUAUUACGCGCCUGGAGCCCAAGCCCGGUUCACUGCUUCCAAGGACGGCAGCAACUUUUAUCUGCAAAUGAACAACCUGAGACUGGACGACAUGGCCACCUAUUACUGUGCAAGAGAUAUACCUGGGAAGUGGUAUGGAACACGGUGGUGGGGAGCUGAACACAAACUGGUCCCGACAAAUGAAUGUCUGCAGCGCAGCCCGUCUCCACCGACUCCGCAUUCCUGCUUCCCAGAGUCAAACACCUGAGGCUUGACUCGGACUGCUGGGAGGAAAUGUCCAUUUCUGGGCAAUUAAAAGCCCAAAAGGAGGCGAUUGUGUUUCUGGGCGCUGGCGGGAGCCGGUGUCUGCAGACAGGACAACGGCAAAAAUGCCUCUUUAUUCCCACUCACGGAAGAGAGAAGCACGGAGUUUGGGAUGGAAAUACAAGAAGCGGCUGCUCCAAGUCCGGACACGGUUCAUGUUGACACUUUGCUGGGAUUGUUGGAUGUGACGGACAAGUGAAGUUACUGCAGUGGGACAGUGGGGAGAUGCGGCUACUGGGAGAAAGGAACCUCGCUGACGGUGACUUCGGCUUGAUCGCCAAAGCUCAUCCCCUUUGUUCCAUCCCUGGAGUUUAUCCACAAUCAAACAACUGCUGUCCUGGGCUGUGCAAUAUCUGGAUUCUCUCCUGACAACAUUAAGGCUUUCCGGGAAAAAUCUGGAUCUGUUCAAG